GACGAACGCUGGCGGCGUGCUUAACACAUGCAAGUCGAACGGAAAGGCCUCUUUCGGGGGGUACUCGAGUGGCGAACGGGUGAGUAGCACGUGAGUAACCUGCCCUUGACUUUGGGAUAACUUCAGGAAACUGGGGCUAAUACCGGAUAGGAGCUCCUGCUGCAUGGUGGGGGUUGGAAAGUUUCGGCGGUUGGGGAUGGACUCGCGGCUUAUCAGCUUGUUGGUGGGGUAGUGGCUUACCAAGGCUUUGACGGGUAGCCGGCCUGAGAGGGUGACCGGCCACAUUGGGACUGAGAUACGGCCCAGACUCCUACGGGAGGCAGCAGUGGGGAAUAUUGCACAAUGGGUGGAAGCCUGAUGCAGCAACGCCGUGUGCGGGAUGACGGCCUUCGGGUUGGAAACCGCUUUCGCUCAUGACGAAGCUUUGUGUGACGGUAGUGGGUAAAGAAGCACCGGCUAACUACGUG
rnacentral:rRNA from 1 species